UACAGAGGUCUCAAGCGUUGUUCGGAUUCAUUGGGCGUAAAGGGUGCGUAGGUGGCGCCGUAAGUCAGGUGUGAAAUUUCGGAGCUUAACUCCGAAACUGCAUUUGAUACUGCGGUGCUUUGAGGACUGGAGAGGAGACUGGAAUUUACGGUGUAGCAGUGAAAUGCGUAGAGAUCGUAAGGAAGACCAGUGGCGAAGGCGGGUCUCUGGACAGUUCCU
rnacentral:rRNA from 1 species